CGGCGUCUUCAGCCAUGUUUAUACUACACCGUCACUACUAAUACUGGCUUAGCUCGCUAGUUUUAUGACAUUAACGGAAAUAAGCGAAAAAGGUAUGAUGUUUACAAAUAAAAUAUCGAUAUUUCUAUUCCAAAAGAUGACAUCCAACACAAAUCUACGAACAUAUUCAGGAAAUCAGAUUCCAAAUUGAAUUCUUGAAGGUCACCAUCUUCAAUACUAGAUUAAAGGCCACUACGUUGACCCCACCAAGAUGACAUCGGAUGAACAGGACGGGAGAAAAACGACACUGGGCGUCGCAGACGGGUCUAUCCAUCACCGACGUGCCAAAGCACAGACGAGAUUGAGUCUGAAGUGUCCUCAGAAACACCUGUUACUGCAAAAUGCCAUGUUUGCAUUAUAAUACAGAAUCAGCGCUGCUUCUGAAACUUGCUGCCUGUUGAUUAACGACCUGAAAACAAGAGAUUUUAGUAUUGACAUACUGAAGGACCAGAGUUGAUGCAGACGUGACCCGAAAGUUAUAAACCCUGACAAAUCGAGAGCGAUAGAG